rnacentral:piRNA from 6 species
GGGGGUGUAGCUCAGUGGUAGAGCGCGUGC